rnacentral:lncRNA from 1 species
UUGGCUUUUAGGUCUGCUCAGCCCUGCGGCUGAUGCUCUCUGAGCUUCCAGCUCCCCAUGCUUCGAACACAUCACAGAGCCAUAUUCCAUCCCCACAGGAGGAGGAGGAGGAGGCGGAACCAGGCUGCAGGGAUGCAAAAAUGCAGAGGAGAGCGAGGCAGGCAGGCUGGGAAGGACAGCUUUGCUGAGCCUCGGAGAAAACACUGAGUAAUUAUCAGUGAGGAGUCCAGAAUGAUUGGCGACAGACUUCUCCUCUGCCUCUUCACACUGCUGUGCUUGCCCUUCAGCCCCCCGCAGCCCCCUGCCCGGCAGCCAGCAGCACCCUGUGCUGAGCACAGAGGCCUGGAUGAACUGGCAGGGGCAGGGCACACUGCUGCCAUCCAUGUGCCCUGUGGCCACAGGACGGGGCAGGCGGCCGCUGACCAGCAGCCGCACAUAGCAGGCACUGAAGAUCACCAGGAGCUGCUGGGCCAUCACCUGGAACGAGCACGAGAGGGUCAGUGUCUGCCUCAUUCAAACACUGCUCUUGCCCAACAGAAUCAGGACAGAAGCCAAGGACGGAUACAUAACUGUUCCACAUCCCCUUCUGGUCAGCAGUGCUUGCACGCUGCCCCCCAGGACAGUGACAUGUCAGGCUGGGGGCAGGCAGCAUGGCCAGCCCAGGGCUGGGGGCUGCAGGGAUGGGGUGGCAGGGAGCCAGGC